rnacentral:rRNA from 1 species
UACGUAGGGUGCAAGCGUUGUCCGGAAUUACUGGGCGUAAAGAGCUCGUAGGCGGUUUGUCGCGUCGUCUGUGAAAUCCCGCAGCUCAACUGCGGGCUUGCAGGCGAUACGGGCAGACUUGAGUACUGCAGGGGAGACUGGAAUUCCUGGUGUAGCGGUGAAAUGCGUAGAUAUCUGGAGGAACACCGGUGGCGAAGGCGGCAUCCUGGACCGGUAUUGACGCUGAGGCGCGAAAGCCAGGGGAGCAAACGGG